GACGAACGCUGGCGGCGUGCCUAAUACAUGCAAGUCGAGCGAAGUUUUUCUGGUGCUUGCACUAGAAAAACUUAGCGGCGAACGGGUGAGUAACACGUAAAGAACCUGCCUCAUAGACUGGGACAACUAUUGGAAACGAUAGCUAAUACCGGAUAACAGUAUUUCUCGCAUGAGAGAUAUUUAAAAGUUGGUUAUGCUAACACUAUGAGAUGGCUUUGCGGUGCAUUAGCUAGUUGGUGGGGUAAAGGCCCACCAAGGCGACGAUGCAUAGCCGACCUGAGAGGGUGAUCGGCCACACUGGGACUGAGACACGGCCCAGACUCCUACGGGAGGCAGCAGUAGGGAAUCUUCCGCAAAGGGCGAAAGCCUGACGGAGCAACGCCGCGUGAGUGAAGAAGGAUUUCAGUUCGUAAAGCUCUGUUGUUAGGGAAGAAUGGAUAUGUAGUAACUAUACAUGUAAGAGACGGUACCUAACCAGAAAGCCACGGCUAACUACGUG
rnacentral:rRNA from 1 species